rnacentral:lncRNA from 1 species
GGCAGUCCAGCCGCAGGGGCCACCCGAACAGUCUCUCCUCCUCACAGAAGCCUGGAGCUGGGCAUCCAAGAAGAAGCAGCCUCAUUUGUUUUCUGGUGUCAUCGUAGGUGGCCACCUAUGGCUUUUGGGCCUUCAUCUCCUCGUCCUCCAGGCAGCACAAGCCAUUGUGGAAUCUCCACCAGGUGUACAGAACGGUGCCUCUGCGUCCUGCCACUCAGGACCUCUCAAGUCCCCGAUGUGAUGGCUCCUCAGCAUGAUCAGGAGAAAUUCCAUGAUCUUGCUUAUUCCUGUCUUGGGAAGUCCUUCUCCAUGUCUAACCAAGAUCUAUAUGGCUAUAGCACCAGCUCUUUGGCUCUUGGCUUGGCAUGGCUAAGUUGGGAGACCAAAAAGAAGAAUGUACUUCAUCUGGUUGGGCUGGAUUCCCUCUGAUAAGCCUUCCCAGUUGACUGAAAGAUGAGGCUAGGCUCUAGCAAGUUGAAGUCAAACCAGCUCCUUCAAGAAGCUUUGAGCAGAAUGAAGUGGGGAGGACCCAGCUUCCAGCCCAGGAAGCCCACUGUACCUGGAGCCAUCUGGGAUAAGACUUUGACCCAUGACUCCCAUAUCCACAGCCUGUCCAUCCUAGCCCAUCCCAGUUUAUCCUGUAUCAUUUGAGCUGGGAUUCCCACAUCCUCUGAGUUGGAAGUCCCAUCUCAAGUCUUCAAUAAAGACUCUUGAAUAUUGAAUCACAUUAA